rnacentral:rRNA from 1 species
UUGCUUCUUGGGUGACGAGCGGCGGACGGGUGAGUAAUGCAUAGGAAUCUGCCCGAUAGUGGGGGAUAACCUGGGGAAACCCAGGCUAAUACCGCAUACGUCCUACGGGAGAAAGGGGGCUCCGGCUCCCGCUAUGGGAUGAGCCUAUGUCGGAUUAGCUAGUUGGUGAGGUAACGGCUCACCAAGGCAACGAUCCGUAGCUGGUCUGAGAGGAUGAUCAGCCACACCGGGACUGAGACACGGCCCGAACUCCUACGGGAGGCAGCAGUGGGGAAUAUUGGACAAUGGGCGCAAGCCUGAUCCAGCCAUGCCGCGUGUGUGAAGAAGGCCCUCGGGUUGUAAAGCACUUUCAGCGAGGAAGAACGCCUAGCGGUUAAUACCCGCUAGGAAAGACAUCACUCGCAGAAGAAGCACCGGCUAACUCCGUGCCAGCAGCCGCGGUAAUACGGAGGGUGCAAGCGUUAAUCGGAAUUACUGGGCGUAAAGCGCGCGUAGGUGGCUUGAUAAGCCGGUUGUGAAAGCCCCGGGCUCAACCUGGGAACGGCAUCCGGAACUGUCAAGCUAGAGUGCAGGAGAGGAAGGUAGAAUUCCCGGUGUAGC